AGAGUUUGAUCAUGGCUCAGGAUGAACGCUAGCGGCAGGCUUAACACAUGCAAGUCGAGGGGUAACAUUAGUGCUUGCAUUAGAUGACGACCGGCGCACGGGUGCGUAACGCGUAUAGAAUCUACCUUUUACAGGGGGAUAGCCUUUAGAAAUGAAGAUUAAUAUCCCAUGGUAUUGCGAAGUGGCAUCACUUUGUAAUUAAAGAUUUAUCGGUAAAAGAUGACUAUGCGUCCUAUUAGUUAGUUGGUAAGGUAACGGCUUACCAAGACUUCGAUAGGUAGGGGUCCUGAGAGGGAGAUCCCCCACACUGGUACUGAGACACGGACCAGACUCCUACGGGAGGCAGCAGUGAGGAAUAUUGGGCAAUGGAGGUAACUCUGACCCAGCCAUGCCGCGUGCAGGAAGACUGCCCUAUGGGUUGUAAACUGCUUUUAUACAGGAAGAAACACUGCUACGUGUAGCAGCUUGACGGUACUGUAAGAAUAAGGACCGGCUAACUCCGUGCCAGCAGCCGCGGUAAUACGGAGGGUCCGAGCGUUAUCCGGAAUCAUUGGGUUUAAAGGGUCCGCAGGCGGUCAAUUAAGUCAGAGGUGAAAUCCCAUAGCUUAACUAUGGAACUGCCUUUGAUACUGGUUGACUUGAGUCAUAUGGAAGUAGAUAGAAUGUGUAGUGUAGCGGUGAAAUGCAUAGAUAUUACACAGAAUACCGAUUGCGAAGGCAGUCUACUACGUAUGUACUGACGCUCAUGGACGAAAGCGUGGGGAGCGAACAGGAUUAGAUACCCUGGUAGUCCACGCCGUAAACGAUGGACACUAGUUGUUGGGCAUUAGCUCAGUGACUAAGCGGAAGUGAUAAGUGUCCCACCUGGGGAGUACGAUCGCAAGAUUGAAACUCAAAGGAAUUGACGGG
rnacentral:rRNA from 1 species